rnacentral:rRNA from 1 species
UACGUAGGGUGCAAGCGUUGUCCGGAAUUAUUGGGCGUAAAGAGCUCGUAGGCGGUCUGUCGCGUCGGCUGUGAAAACCUGAGGCUCAACCUCAGGCCUGCAGUCGAUACGGGCGGACUUGAGUACUGCAGGGGAGACUGGAAUUCCUGGUGUAGCGGUGAAAUGCGCAGAUAUCAGGAGGAACACCGGUGGCGAAGGCGGGUCUCUGGGCAGUAACUGACGCUGAGGAGCGAAAGCGUGGGGAGCAAACAGG